AGCUGCGGAUCAUGGAGAUUUCUCUGGCUCUCCAGUGACACUCCAGAUGCUGAGGUGAUCCACACGACAUCACUCACAAUCUGCGAUUCGUUAAGAUUUCUUUCAGAGAUGAUGAUGGAUUGAGCUUGCCUUCAAGCAGGAGAAAGAAGACAAAAGCAAUCGAAGUCAUGCUUACUGGUGUAAGAGUGCCAGAUGUCGGUUUUGUGCAGAGGGAGCCAGCUUUACCUGAGAACUCAGUAUAGAAGAGCCAAGGGGAUGUUGAAGUUAGCAGGGCCAAAAGAGAG